GGGGCAGGCAGGGGUCAGAAGGAUGCAGACACUCUUACAUUGAGAUCUGCUGAUGGACCUGCCUCCUGCCAGUGCCAGGUAGGGGCCUGGUGACAGCAUCAUGAGGCAAAUAAGAGAGAAAAAGGCUCCACGGAGCAUAACAGGGUCUGACCCAGGAAUCCAGGAGUUCAUAUAGGAGCCCUGCCCUUCCAUUGCUGUGACAGACAGAAUGAACAGGAGCCUAACUUAACAGCCCUCUGAGAGACUCUACCCAGAAGAUGACUGAGACAGAUGGAUAUACCUACAGACAAACAUUGGACGGAGGUUGGGGACCUCCAUGGCAGAGUUAGGGAAGGAGAUGACAACCUCACAGGAAGACCAACAGUGUCAACUAAUCUGGACCUUCUAGGAGUUCACAGAGACAGAGCCACCAAGCAAAGAGCAUACAUAGGCUGGUCUGAGCCCCCUGAUUCCUAUGUAGCACAGGGCUGUCAUAUCUGGCUGCCUCAGUGGGAGAGGAUGUGCCUAAUCUUGCAGGGAUUUGGUGCACAAGGGGUCGCACAGCCUCUGCCUUUGGGGCUUGAAGUAUGUAUUCAUCAGCAAUUCCGGGUCUCUAGCUUACCAACAUAGACCUUGGCACUUCUUGGUCUUCAGCAUCAUGGGAGCCAAACAGACAAGACCCUCCUGGAAGCAGCCAUCAAUUACUGUUGUAUUAGUAGAAGCCAAGUAUUCAAGGAUCA